UACGUAGGAUGCAAGCGUUGUCCGGAUUUACUGGGCGUAAAGGGCGCGCAGGCGGCACUACAAGUACUGGGUGAAAUCUCCCUGCUCAACUGGGAGCUUGCAGGCGGAACUGCCGUGCUGGAGUGUGGGAGAGGUGCGUGGAAUUCCUGGUGUAGCGGUGAAAUGCGUAGAUAUCAGGAGGAACACCUGUGGCGAAAGCGGCGCACUGGACCACAACUGACGCUGAGGCGCGAAAGCUAGGGGAGCAAACAGG
rnacentral:rRNA from 1 species